UUAGCCCGUGCAGCUGUUUUUCUCUUCCCUGAUUCUUGGGGAGCCCUACUACAAUGCAGCCUCGGAUUAAGGGAAGGGUUGUGUGCUGUGUGAUGAAUGAGACUUGAAGGAAACCUGUCUGUUUUGGUGGUGCUGGUAUGAUGGGGUGUUUUACAGCAGUCUCCUCAGAAGUAAAUGUUCCCUGCAGGAGAGAAGAGGAGAGCUCACCACACCCAGCAGGAACCACCUCCUCAUUUCAGAUGAAUUUCUCAUCUGUGGAAAAAUACUGAAGACUCAGCAGUCAGAACAACACAAUGCCAGGACUAGAAGGAUAGUCACACGAUCCAAGUGGUGUCAGUGAUAGCCAAUGGAUGUGUGUGACAACUUUGGGGAUAACUGCAUGGUUCUUUUCAUCCCGCUGUUUUUGCCAAUAAGUACUACGUCAGUCUAGACACCUGGGGUUGCCAGCAACUGUAUCUGGAUCCCUGAGAUGCCUCAUGCUUGGGAGUGGGCACCACAGUCAUGCGCAACAAAAAGUAGUGGGGAAGACAGAUGUUGAUGGCAGUGUGCACAACAGAACAGCCUCCUGCCAUUUGAUCAUCUUGUCUU